AGGCUAAUAGUCUAAUGGUAAGACAAUUACUUUUUAAGUAAUUUAUAUUGAUUCGAUUUCAAUUUAGCCUA
rnacentral:tRNA from 1 species